ACCUUGGCACAAGCCUUGGCAUCUCUAACCAUGUUUAGAUGGUUAAAGUGAGAUUACAUCAUACUUUCCUAACUUUCAGGAAGAAUGCAGUAAAGAUAUCCCCUGAAUAUUUCAGACAGCAGGUCCUUUCUUAUGUAGUUGGUGUGCAUUCCAAAUAUGCCUCAUGGUAACCAAGAAUGUGAACAAAGGAAGGAGAAUCCAGAGUUUUGGAGUUCCCAGCUGGGGCCCAGCCUGCAUUAUGGCCAAGAUCAUUGCAAUCACUGACUUGCAUUGUAAUUGUGUGAAUGACUCACAAAUCCAGCAGAUGUCUGCAAACAAGUAGGAAUUAGAUCCAGGCCAAAAAGUAACUCUAUCAAAUCAGUUGAAACUCUAUUAAGCAAAUGAAUAGGAAGAGGCAGCAAACUCCUGUGGUGUCCUAGACUUAGUUACCAUGGGGAAGUAGAGUCCAGCUAAGGUUAUAUACAUUGAAUAUGUGAUUUUUAUCUGGAAAUAAAGAUAAUCUUAUGUAUUUUAGGUAGGGAUCUGGUUACAACCCCUUUUCCCACCCACAUAUAUCCAUUUGUUAAAGUACUUUACACUUAAGGACAAUCGAUAUUGUGAGUUACUUAGCGAUUUCACAAUCAUCAAAUCAUUCUACCCACCCCCCACCCCCAGAAACUCUGUAAGUAUAAAAUCGACAUUCACAGGUAAAGAAACAAAGGCUCCAAGAAGUUAAGUGAUGCCAUAUUUAGUAUUUGUACCAAUACUAUUAAGUUAGGAAGAAGUUUUUAGCAAUCCCCCAACCUUCCACCUAAAGUUUAAUGAUGAUCUACUAAGCAGGUUCUCAUUCAGAUAUUUAAUUCUCAAGGCAUCCUUCAUCAAGAGUGGAGUCCAAAUUAAUAGGAAGCACUCUUUUCUUGAUCGGGAAUGGUAUCACUAAUCUUUGUGAUACAGCAACUUGCUCUUUCUAUGACUCGGCUCCUUCCUUUUAAAAUGAAGAAUCAGACCACUCGAGUAACUCUCAACUUGUAUAUAUGCUCAGGAUUGUAUUUUCCUACCAAGGUUUAUUGAUAGAUUAAACCACUAUGCAUGUUUACCAAGUAAUAAAAAAUAUUUUCUUCUAAGUAAAGAGUGAUUGUCUUUUUGGCUAUGGAAAUAGUAAAUACAAUGAUGGGGUUUACCACCUUUGUGGACCUCUGGGGAUCUGGCAGUGUGGGAUGGAAUAAUUGGAUUAAAUGAAGAGACGAAACUUAAGUUCUUUCCAACUUCGAGUGUUGAUGAAAACUUUGAGGUAAACUGGAGUAAUUCAGAUAAUUUCCAAGUGAUUGUAGGGAAACAUUAAUUAGUGCUUCAAAAAUCCUGAUAUUUUAGAUCAGUUUGUUUUUCUGGCCCAUUUUUUUUUUUUUUUUAUAAAAUGAGGAAACUGAGGAAACCAUUUUUAUAAAGUGAGGCAUAGAGGUUAAGUGUCUUGCCUAAAAAAGAGGGCCAAACCAGGGUAGAAAUGCCAUAGUCUCCCACUGAUUCCAUACCAAAUUACAUGGCAAUGUGAUUGCCAUCGACCUCUUUUGGACCUCUGUGACACAUAGAUUCAAGGCUCAUGAGAGGUGCACUAGCAGAGGGAGAAAUGCAGGGAGAAUUCCUUUAUUCACCUUUAUGAUAUAUAUAUAUUUUGUUUUUAAAGCUUUCAAUUUGGGAGAAUAUUUUCAAGAAAAAUGAUGCAUGUGUCCAAGGAAAGGCGUAGUGUUGCUUUGGGGACUGGGACAUUAAGGAAAAGAUGAGACUUACGUUUUCUUUCCACAGAUGGCACCUUGGUACCAGUUCCUACAAGUGCUGAAGUAUUUCUUUUUGGUGCCUAAAAUCUGUUGAAGGGCACAGACAUUUGGGCUGGAAGACAGAGGGAAGGAAAGAGAGUCAGUGUCCCAACGACAACCAGUGUUUCAUACCUUCAGGUCAGAUGAUUCAGAAAAAAAGUUAACAUGUGGACUCAAUUUUCAAAGAUGUGAUUCUAGUCUUGCAAAAAUCUACUUCUUGAUUCAAUCAUACUGAAUCAUUAGAAAAACUAAAUUCUAUGGGAGAGAAAAAAGAGAGAGGAAAUUAUACAUCCUUGAGAGAACACCAGCAUUUCAAAAGUUAAUUUAGUAGGAAUAUUCAAGCAGCACUAAGUUCAACUUAGUUUUGUUGUCAUGUGUGUCUUAUUAUUUCUAGUAGUAAGAUAAUCUACUGACCCUUCCUAAAUCAAACAUGUGCUCAUUUGGGAUUCUAAUCUGGAACAAUGGACUCUGGAACAGUGAGGAAUCAGAAAGCAAAGAGACAAGUUUUCCUAUGUCAAAAAACACCGCAUUCUGUCAUUUUCUAGAGUUUCAAGUAACAGAGUCUUAAUCCAUCCUGGGCAUCAUACGGGAACUUGUAUAAGUCCCAUGGAAGUCAACAAAUGCUACCCCUCAGCAAAUAUUUACACGCAGGAUAAGUAAUACCAUCAAGGACAAUCUUGAAAAUGAGGGCCAGACUGCACAUAAACUACAUGUAAAUUUAGAGGGUGGAGAGGGUUUCAAAAGAAGGAAAACCUUAGUGUAAAUAUAAAAACAUGAGAGUACUGCAACUGAAAAAGCCAAGCUCAGCUCGGGAGUGUGAUACUAUAUGAUAUUAUGGAGUAGUAGAAAGUCAAGCAACUGUUUUAGCCAGGAUCCUAGCUUCUGGUAGACAAAUUGAACCAUAGUCCCUAUCUGACAGUGCUGGGUAGGCUGAGGGAAGGAAAACAGUUUCAGAGAAUGGGAGAAAAGAUAGUCUAAGGUGUGGAAAAGGGAAAAAUCUCUCUUGUCUGAGCGUUCAGCAGGGUCAAUGUCUCUCUCAUUCUUUCUCUCCACACAGGGCCCUUAUUCUUUUGCUUCAUGAAAGGAUCCUGCCUCUGGGUUGGCUACGUAAUUUUAUUAGUAGUUUGUAGGAGGGCUGAAAUCUUGGCAAUUGAAUCUAAUUUUCAGGGUUGUAAAGUCUGACCUGGAAAUGUAAGUCAUUAAUGAAAAGGAAGUGACUUAUUAUGCAACCAAAGAAAAAUAAUGUGUCUGAAAGAUAGAGCCAUUUGUUUCUAGCUAUCAGGUUGCUAAUUUAUGGGCAGUUUUCGAAUUAUCCAGUGGAUCUUUGCAGCAAGCCUUGUAGCCUCUGGAGACUGUGAAAUCAUCGUGAUAGUAUGCCUACUCUUGCUAGCAUGUAACCAAUAUGGCCCACACACUGUAGGGUUGAGAUUGCCUAUGGAUGCAACAAACCUGAAUACCCAGGCCUAGAGUAGAUUUUUUAGAAGACAUUUCCUUGGUUUGGAAUCAUCCAGAGUAGUUAUUUGCCUCAAAUUAUGUAUAAACUCCUGCUUUUGAACAUAUGUUCUGUGGGAUAUUAAAAACAUUUCUUGGAGCACCA